GGUGGGUGGGCACAAAAAUGAACACGCGAGGGUACCUUGCCACGGCAAACCAGUGUUUUGGCGCUCGACCAAACGGCCGCUGUGCUGCCAGUCAGCACCCAUGUUUUGGCGGGGCUAUUGCGGGCGUAGAACCAAACAUGUUAUAUAAGUUGCCCUUCUCCUCCCCACCUCCCAUCUCUCGGUCGCCCCUCGCUCUCCCUUCCCCAUCUCUCUUCUCGCUCUCCGCCAGUUCCGACGCCGCCGCCGAGCUACGUCCCCGACAAUGGCAGCAGCGGUGGGUGCGAGGCCUGUCUAGGGGCUUCGACCCUUCCUCCUCGGUCGGGCGCGGUCUUUGGUGCACCGUCUCCACUGCGGCGGGGCGGAGGAGAUCGGUCUGAUCCCGCGGUCACCAAAGCGGAUCCACCGUCGCCACCUCCUUCCUCGCCUGCAAGAAGAUGGAUCUGGGCCUCGCCGCUGCCGCCUCCUCCUACUCCUCCCCGAGAUCUCCGGGUUCCGAUCCAGGGGUGGCACCGCGGCCGGCGCGGGAGCGCAGGACCAACGGCUGAGCGCGGGGAUGGGGUCGACGCUGGGGCAAACGCAGAAGGCCAUCGGCGAGCCGGAGAGCCCGAGCCAGAGCCCGAGCCAUGUCUUGUCGUCGUCAUGCUUCGGCCUCUCCCAUCUCCUCUCGCACGGUCGACAUCGACCCCGUGCUCCCCUUCAACCCCUUCGUCCCCGAGUUCAUCCCCGACGCUCGACCGGGCCGCAGCACGCACGGCGGGGCAGGCGAGUGGGCGCUGGGCAGCUAGGUCCCGUCGACCGAUGGAGCAGAUGACUGGAGGUGGACCAUCCACCAAGUGAGCUCGCCGCCGCCGCCGUCCUCGCUGCCAUCGACCCCGAGCUUGCCGCCGCCGCAGAUCGAGCAACCCGAGGCCGAGCUCGUGCAAGCCGCUGUCCAACCCGGCUAUCUCCCCAAUCCGUCCAACCCAGCAUACAGAGGUAGGAAUUAGGAUAAAGAACGGCUGGAUUUGUAGGGAUGUGUGUGGCUGAAUUUGUAGGGAUUUAUAUCAUGUAGUACAUAGUUUUUAGCUGCUGCUGUGUAGACAAUGUCCUUCCAUUUGCAAUGCUUUUGGAUCUGAUCUGCUAAGCACUUGCCAUGUGAUCAGCAAGGUAUUUUGUAUCGGCAUGCCUCUUGUGAUUUGAGCUGUGCGUUCUGUUUAAACAAUAAUCAUGACACGCUCGCGCACACAUUUGUAAGGUGGGUUUGUACCACAGAUAAUACACAAGCGCAAUAUUUUGACACAAGA